AGAUGCUGACACAUUGGCUAUUACAACUGGAUUGGUUUUAAAAGAGCUAUGACCACCGUUCUGCUUGGAAAUAUUCAUUGAGUGGCUUCAUCCUGCUUGUACAUCUGUAUAGCACGUGUCAUGCCAUGCCUGAUGCGUUUGAAAGUCAUGUGAGUGCUGGCGAUGCGGUGAGACGGGCUGGCAGGUGCUUCAAGGUCAGUCUGCUCUACAGGACUCCAGGGAGUGCCCUGGCUGCCCUUUAGCCCACACAGCUGCAACAGGAGUGGCCAGCCUUGUUUACCAAGCCUGAUUCAUUUCCUAUCUCUGACCCCAUCUCUCCUAAUCCACUGAUAUCAUGUCACAGUAUAUUUUAAUCUCACCUAGUUUCCAGGAAGAGACCUAAUCAUAAUCAACUCUCGCUAAUGGGAUACCGAGGGGGCUCCAUUUGUUAAGCGUCUGCCUUUGGCUCAAGAUCAUGAUCUCAGGGUCCUGGGAUCCAGCCCCACAU